UAUAAAUAACGUUCACUCCCUAAAUUCUCCUAACCUGCUAUGAAAAGUAUAUUUUGAAAAAAAGCUGGACAAAACCCUCCAAACUGAACCGAGUUUGGCUGUGUUCAAGAGCACCAAAACGACUGCGUACUGACUGGUCUACAAAUCACCUUGUAUCAUAAAUAACGACUCAUUAUUAUUUGUAGAUCAGUCAGUCAGUCACAAUUUAACCAUGAUACAUUGUGGUUUUGAUCCUCUCGGACAGGGCCACUGCUGAAGGCGCACUUGGGUGAGUGCUCUGUCAUCAACAGUAAACAAACAAAUAAAUAUGUAUUACCAUCUCAAAUGCACUUAAGAAACAAGAAAACAUUCUUAAGGAUCUUUGAAAUAAUCCGGUUCUGCAAUAUCGGUCAUGCUAAAUAUUAUUGAACGCGUCAAAUAACAAUAUGCAACCUAUAUGCAAAUAGUGGCCAAUCACUAAUAAGGCGCAUGUGAAGCCAGCUAUAUGAAAGACAUCUCACCAACAAACGAAUAAGUUAUGUCGAACCUUUAAACCAUGAGAGACCUCUUUUUAAGUUUUGCCAACCAAGUACAACCACCCCAGGAGGAUCGGGUGGUUCAAAGGUAGGAUUAAUUCUGGUAGGUAAUACCUGGCAAAAGUCAACAUUGACUGGUACAGCUACCUAACGUAACGCUCUCCCCUUUCUAUUAUUAGCCUACCUAGCUAGCUAUGUUAUCGUUUGUUAUUUAACAGUAUGCCCGUUCCAGUAAACUAGGCCUUUCUAUUGCUGUUAUGUUGUGUUAAGAUUUCGUUGACUUUUUCUUCAAAUUCUUGUGAUUAAACAUAGACUUAUUGAAUGUUAUUUUACUGAUUUUAAAUAUCAUGGACUGUUUCCCUGUGUAUAUUAGGAUACUUUUUAUUACAUUUAAAUAAUGUUUCCAUAUCUCAGUAUCUUUAGAGUAUCCUGUGAGGCAGAUCAAAGUGCCCUGUGGUCAGGAGGAGAGCAGCAUCUUGAAGGUUUUCGGGGAAACAUUCCCCCAGAUGAAUCCAAAUGUAGAGGCCUUUAAGACAGACAGGAGGAGGAGGCUCGUUCCCCUACAGCUGAACAGCAUGUGUCCAGCUGCAAUCAAAUCAGCUGGGCUAGGGAGGUCUGUCCUGUACUUAAGAUUGAAGGUUCAAAUAUGGUCUCAACUCUCUUGUGCUGCUGGAGGCAUUGGGGAACCACCCGGACAGCUUCCGAGCACUUCUUGUAGACUCCAUAAAUCUUCCACUGCCAGGGACCUGUUUAAAGUAACCUAUUCCAUACCUGGCAGCAACCGGCGGUGGUUGGAGAAUGACACCAUCUGCCACUGGUUCAACUGGCUGGCUGAGGAGCAAGAUGGAGAAUGUCCUCCUCUAACAGUGGCAAUGGUGUUGGGAGUUUGAUACUGGGGCAACGCUGGUGCCACCCCUGGGGUUUGAGGACCCCCCCGACCAUCGAAUUCCUCCACACAGCGCGAGGGAGUCUCGCUGGGCAGCAGAAGAAAAAGUACCCAGAGGCAAACACGUGUGCUGUGACACUAAGGCUCCCUCUUCAUAGCACCUACAAUGCCUUUAGGGAAUUCAUGACCUCCGGUAUUGUGAAUUCCCCACAUUCCGGUGUUGCAUAAACACACCUUAGUGGAGAGUGACACAUAAUAGUUAGAACAUUGGAGGGUGAAUUACUUGUAUUCACAAGUCUGUGGGACUUGUUCUGCCUUCUCUCUUCCACUGUUUCAUAUACAGUAUGUACUGAAGACUUGUAUAUUUCCGACCCUGUUCUUUGAAUGUCUUAAUGUACCUCUUUCUGCCCACUUGUCAGACUAAUGGAGAAAAGUGAGCAGAUAUAUUUGGCCGCUAAAUUCAUUGUUUUUCAAAAUAUUUAUUUGUAUGAUACAUAAUUUAUAGAAUUGUAGCAGUAAGCUACAGUAGCAAUUGAGUGUUUGAAAAUGUAGCUGCACAACCACAUUUAAGCAUUUAUCUACUUACCGUCUAUGUAUUGUUAGUAUAGUGCAUUCUGACAUUAUUCAGACCCCUUGACUUUUUCCACAUUUAUUAUUAUUCUACAAUUUAUAAAAUGUUUUUUCCUCAUCAA